rnacentral:tRNA from 1 species
GGGGCUGUAGCUCAAUUGGUUAGAGCGCCGGCCUGUCACGCCGGAGGUUGCGGGUUCGAGUCCCGUCAGCCUCG